AAAGGGGGGACCUGGACCAGGACACUCAGGGACCAGCGCUCUGCUUGCCACGUGGGUCCCCCCGGAGCAGGUGUGACUGAUGGGAAGGGUCGCGAAGGGGGGCGUUGUUUCCGCGCAAGGGAGGGAAAUGAAAGGAACGGGAAGGGGACGGCUGGGUGCGAGGUCCGAGAUGUUCCGGGGAGCGCUGCCGGGUGCCAGGGGACAGUCCCUCCCGGGGGGGAGGCCCGAGGCUGGGGGUCGGGGGCGGGGAGGGAGGUGGGCCCCAGACCGGCGCGGGGCCGGGCGGCUCCGCUGCUCCCCGCCCCCGACCCGCCCCUCCACGGCGCCAUUUUGCAGGCGGCUGUCGCGGGGACCGGAGGCGGCGGCGGCAGCAGGCACUGCGGCGCCGAGGCGCGGCGGCAGGACGGGAGCCACGCGAGCUGCAGCCAGGUGAGCUGCCGUUGCUCUGCCCGGCCUGCGGGCCGACUCCGCUGGCCGGGCUGCGAGGCUCGUUGCGCCCACGAGGCCGGCCCCCGCGCGCUGUCACCCACCGGCCCCAAGUGGCGCGGCCUGCGCGCCCCCACCCCGACCCGUCUCCCGGGACCCCGCGCCCGCCGGCCAGCCUGGACCCGGGGCCCAAGAUGCCCGGCGGCCCUCAGUUCCUGCCGCCCCGCCGGCCGGGCCGGGCCCCCGGGGUACCCACCCCUGCCUGCCGCGGGAGCCACAGCGCGCCCGGGCCCUCAGGCCGCGCAGCGGGGAGGCAAAUGGGGCGCCCCCAGAACCCCACUGGCUGCCGCCGCCUCUUCCCGGGCUCUGCGUCCGCGCGUCCUGGGGUCGCUUCCCUCGCCCCUCCCCAGGUGGUGCGCACGGGUAUCGCCCUGCUCCUCACCCAGGGGCAUCAGGAGGGGCGGCAAGAGGGUGCCUUUUACAUUCUUGCUUUCUUCCCUUCUACAAAGACUGCGCGAAGUAAUUUUAGAAGCAGCUCCUCCGACCUCGGGGUCUUUCUGGCCUGUUCCCCGGGGGUCGCGAGUCCUCCUCCUUGCCACCUUUAGGGGGAAAAAAAUGACAUUUCAAGUGUGA
rnacentral:lncRNA from 1 species